UACAGAGGGUGCAAGCGUUAAUCGGAUUUACUGGGCGUAAAGCGUGCGUAGGCGGUUCAUUAAGUCGGUUGUGAAAUCCCUGGGCUUAACCUGGGAACUGCAGUCGAUACUGGUGGACUAGAAUGCGGUAGAGGGUGGCGGAACUCCGGGUGUAGCGGUGAAAUGCGUAGAUAUCCGGAAGAACACCGAUGGCGAAGGCAACCACCUGGGCCUGCAUUGACGCUGAGGCGCGAAAGCGUGGGUAGCAAACAGG
rnacentral:rRNA from 1 species